rnacentral:rRNA from 1 species
UUAAAUUGAAGAGUUUGAUCAUGGCUCAGAUUGAACGCUGGCGGCAGGCCUAACACAUGCAAGUCGAACGGUAACAGAAAGCAGCUUGCUGCUUUGCUGACGAGUGGCGGACGGGUGAGUAAUGUCUGGGAAACUGCCUGAUGGAGGGGGAUAACUACUGGAAACGGUAGCUAAUACCGCAUAACGUCGCAAGACCAAAGAGGGGGACCUUCGGGCCUCUUGCCAUCGGAUGUGCCCAGAUGGGAUUAGCUUGUUGGUGGGGUAACGGCUCACCAAGGCGACGAUCCCUAGCUGGUCUGAGAGGAUGACCAGCCACACUGGAACUGAGACACGGUCCAGACUCCUACGGGAGGCAGCAGUGGGGAAUAUUGCACAAUGGGCGCAAGCCUGAUGCAGCCAUGCCGCGUGUAUGAAGAAGGCCUUCGGGUUGUAAAGUACUUUCAGCGGGGAGGAAGGGAGUAAAGUUAAUACCUUUGCUCAUUGACGUUACCCGCAGAAGAAGCACCGGCUAACUCCGUGCCAGCAGCCGCGGUAAUACGGAGGGUGCAAGCGUUAAUCGGAAUUACUGGGCGUAAAGCGCACGCAGGCGGUUUGUUAAGUCAGAUGUGAAAUCCCCGGGCUCAACCUGGGAACUGCAUCUGAUACUGGCAAGCUUGAGUCUCGUAGAGGGGGGUAGAAUUCCAGGUGUAGCGGUGAAAUGCGUAGAGAUCUGGAGGAAUACCGGUGGCGAAGGCGGCCCCCUGGACGAAGACUGACGCUCAGGUGCGAAAGCGUGGGGAGCAAACAGGAUUAGAUACCCUGGUAGUCCACGCCGUAAACGAUGUCGACUUGGAGGUUGUGCCCUUGAGGCGUGGCUUCCGGAGCUAACGCGUUAAGUCGACCGCCUGGGGAGUACGGCCGCAAGGUUAAAACUCAAAUGAAUUGACGGGGGCCCGCACAAGCGGUGGAGCAUGUGGUUUAAUUCGAUGCAACGCGAAGAACCUUACCUGGUCUUGACAUCCACAGAACUUUCCAGAGAUGGAUUGGUGCCUUCGGGAACUGUGAGACAGGUGCUGCAUGGCUGUCGUCAGCUCGUGUUGUGAAAUGUUGGGUUAAGUCCCGCAACGAGCGCAACCCUUAUCCUUUGUUGCCAGCGGUCCGGCCGGGAACUCAAAGGAGACUGCCAGUGAUAAACUGGAGGAAGGUGGGGAUGACGUCAAGUCAUCAUGGCCCUUACGACCAGGGCUACACACGUGCUACAAUGGCGCAUACAAAGAGAAGCGACCUCGCGAGAGCAAGCGGACCUCAUAAAGUGCGUCGUAGUCCGGAUUGGAGUCUGCAACUCGACUCCAUGAAGUCGGAAUCGCUAGUAAUCGUGGAUCAGAAUGCCACGGUGAAUACGUUCCCGGGCCUUGUACACACCGCCCGUCACACCAUGGGAGUGGGUUGCAAAAGAAGUAGGUAGCUUAACCUUCGGGAGGGCGCUUACCACUUUGUGAUUCAUGACUGGGGUGAAGUCGUAACAAGGUAACCGUAGGGGAACCUGCGGUUGGAUCACCUCCUUACCUUAAAGAA